GGGCAACAUCCAACAACUUGGGCCAAUCCCUUUGCGUGGCACUCACAUAGUGUCGGAGAUAAGUCUCCAACAAUGCAUUCACUCGUUUAGUUUGCCCAUCAGUUUGUGGAUGCAUGCUUGUGGAGAAGUUUAAUUCCGAGCCCAUUGACUUGAACAGCUCCGUCCAGAACUGGCCCGUAAAUCUCCCAUCUCAAUCACUGAUAAUAGACAAUGGCACUCCCCAAUAUUUUACCACGUGUCUAAGAAAUAAGCGAGCUGCCUCCUCAGCUUGGCACUCCUUGGUAGCAGGAAUAAACGUCACAUACUUUGAAAACCUAUCUACCACAACAAGAAUACUUGCAAAUCCGUCAGACUUAGGCAAACCCACAAUAAAGUCCAUGGAUACACUCUCCCAUGGCCUUUCCGGAAUGGGCAAGGGUUGUAGCAAGCCGGCGGGACUCUUUAACUCAACCUUGUCUUGUUGGCAUACUAGAAAAGUCUUCACAUAGGUCUCCACAUCUUCACCCAUGUGAGGCCAAUAGUAUCGAUCCUCCAAAAGGGCCAAGGUUCGGUGCAUUCCCAGAUGGCCCGCCCAUCGUGAAUCAUGGCAUUCUUUCAUUACUUCCUUGCGCAAUUUCCCAUAAUGAGGCACAUAGAGGCGGUGCCUAUGGGUGUAUAGUAAUUCCCCAUCAAGCCAAACUCUCCUCGUUUUCCCCUCAUUGGCUAGCUCAACCAAGCUUUUGGCUGUAGGGUCAUGGGACAACCCUUCUCGAAUGCGUUCCAAUAGGGACUCGUCAGGUUGACUGAUGGCCGCGAAUUCCAUCUUUCGGCUAAGUGCAUCAGCCACCAUGUUGGCACUUCCUGGCUUGUAUUCCAUUGUGAAAUCAAACUCCGCUAGAAAAACCUGCCAACAAGCCUGUUUGGGAGACAACUUUUUCUGGGUUAGAAAAUAACUUUUGGCAACAUUAUCAGUAAGGACCACGAACCUGGAACCUAGUAAGUAAUGCCUCCAUGUGCGCAAGCAGUGCACCACAGCAGUCAUUUCCUUCUCUUGAACCGUAUAUCUCCGCUCUGUCUCAUUAAGCUUUCGACUUUCGAAAGCAAUGGGAUGACCCUCUUGCAUCAGUACUCCCCCAAUGGCAUAAUCUGACGCAUCUGUGCGUACUUCAUAAGGCUUUGAGUAAUCCGGUAAUGCAAGUACAGGCUCACUUGUCAUUACUUGCUUCAAUUGAUUGAAGGCCCUCUCACACUGUGGGUUCCAAUCCCAUACCUUACCCUUUUUUAACAUGUCCAUCAAGGGUGUGGUAAUUCUAGAAUAGCCUUCGAUAAAGCGUCUAUAGUAGUUUGGCAACCCAAGGAAAGAUCUCAACUCUGUCACCUUGGUUGGAGCCUCCCAUUCGGCAAUGGCCCGAACCUUGCUUUCAUCCAUUCGGAUCUUGCCACCUCCCACAAUGUGGCCCAGAAAUGGCACCUCUCGUCGAGCAAAGGUGCAUUUCUCCUCUUUGACGAACAACUCAUUUUCCCUCAAAGUUUGGAACACCUCCCUCAAAUGUUCCACAUGUUCAUUGAGUGUUUUACUGUACACCACAAUAUCGUCAAGGUAAACAACCACGAAACGAUCAAGGAAAGGUUGAAGUACCUUAUUCAUCAAGGUGCAGAAUGUAGCUGGGGCAUUCGUGAGUCCGAAUGGCAUCACUAAAAACUCAUACGAGCCAUACCGCGUCACACAAGCUGUCUUUGGCUCAUCUCCUUCAGCUAUCCGAACUUGAUGGUACCCCGAUCUCAAGUCCAACUUGGUAAACCAUCUCGCACUACCAAGCUGAUCAAACAAGUCUGCAAUGAGGGGAAUAGGGUACCUAUUCCUCACGGUGAUCUUGUUUAGGGCCCAAUAAUCAAUACACAUCCGUAAUGACCCAUCAUGUUUCUUUUGAAAUAGCACUGGUGCACCAUAUGGAGAUUUAGAUGGCCUAAUGAAUCCCGCAUCUAAAAGCUCCUUUAACUGUUUCCGUAAUUCCUCCAAUUCCGGUGGGGACAUACGGUAUGGCGCCCUAGCUGGCGGCACCAUGUUGGACACCAAUUCGAUCCUAUGAUCCACCUCCCUCUUAGGUGGCAAAUUCUUUGGCAACUUUGCAGGCAUCACAUCUCGAAAGGAUUGUAAUACUUGGCCCACUUCCUUAGGGAUCUCACCAACGGUCUUACCGGUUUCCUCAAUCUUCAAAGUGGCUAAGUAGGAGACUUCAUCUCUACGUACUCCCUUAGCAAAUCGGAUUGCAUUCAAUGUUUUCCCUUCGAGGCUCCCCUUUCUUGUCAAUCUCACCAUACAUUGAUAGUUCGAAUCCGAAAUCACCAUGAAAUUACCGGAAGGACAAAUCGUCGCAUUAACCUGAUCAAGAAAACUCAAUCCAACUACAAAAUCAUAGUCAUCAAGUGGUAUUACCUUGAUGGAUGCCGUACCGGUCCAAUCGCCAAAUUGGAGUUUUACUCCCUUUGCGACCCCCUUGAUUGGAACACUUUUCGAAUU
rnacentral:rRNA from 1 species